CAGUCGCCGCGGGAAUACGUAGGUGGCAAGCGUUGUCCGGAAUUAUUGGGCGUAAAGGGCUCGCAGGCGGUUUCUUAAGUCUGAUGUGAAAGCCCCCGGCUCAACCGGGGAGGGUCAUUGGAAACUGGGAAACUUGAGUGCAGAAGAGGAGAGUGGAAUCCCACGUGUAGCGGUGAAAUGCGUAGAGAUGUGGAGGAACACCAGUGGCGAAGGCGACUCUCUGGUCUGUAACUGACGCUGAGGAGCGAAAGCGUGGGGAGCGAACAGGAUUAGAUACCCGCGUAGUCCCUGUCUCUUAUAC
rnacentral:rRNA from 1 species